UAGGGAAUAUUGGACAAUGGGGGCAACCCUGAUCCAGCCAUGCCGCGUGAGUGAAGAAGGCCCUCGGGUUGUAAAGCUCUUUUGUCCGGAAAGAAAAGCUUCGGGUUAAUACCCCGGGGUUCUGACGGUACCGGAAGAAUAAGCACCGGCUAACUUCGUGCCAGCAGCCGCGGUAAUACGAAGGGUGCAAGCGUUACUCGGAAUUACUGGGCGUAAAGCGUGCGUAGGUGGUUGUUUAAGUCUGAUGUGAAAGCCCUGGGCUCAACCUGGGAAUGGCAUUGGAAACUGGGCAGCUAGAGUGCGGUAGAGGGCAGUGGAAUUCCAGGUGUAGCAGUGAAAUGCGUAGAGAUCGGGAGGAACAUCUGUGGCGAAGGCGACUGCCUGGACCAGCACUGACACUGAGGCACGAAAGCGUGGGGAGCAAACA
rnacentral:rRNA from 1 species